GACAAAGGAAAAUCAAAACGCAAGCGUUUUCGAUAUUUUUCUCGAAGCAACGAGAUAAGAAAUGUGUCAACACCUGGAAGUCUGGUUUUUCUGCACCAUCUGUAUCGCUGUUCGAUACGAAUCAUUCUGUUCUCGACUAGCCAGUGGAAAUGUCGUCGGCUAUACGUUUAAUUGAAAGUGAUCAUUUCAUAUAAUGAUGGUGUGAGGAUGCAACCAGGACCUUCAUAGAGUUACAUUUGUCCAGUUCAACAAAUAGCAUGGUAUGGUGAUGCAAUGAGGCACUUCAUAGAGUAACGUUUGUCCAGUUCGACAAAGAGGUGAGCAUUUUAUAUUAUUGAUUCUAAAUUCUGUUUCAGACAAAGGAAAAUCAAAUCUCCAGCGCCUUCGUUGUUUUUCUCAACGAAAUGAGAUAAGCACCUGGAAGUCUGGUUUUUCUACCAUCUGUAUGAACGUUCGAUACGAGUCAUUCUGUUCACGACUAUCUAGUUGAAAUGAGAUCGGCUAUACCUUUAUUGAAAAGUGAUCAUUUCAUAUAAUCAUGGUAUGGUGAUGCAAUGAGGCACUUCAUAGAGUAACGUUUGUCCAGUUCGACAAAGAGGUGAGCAUUUUAUAUUAUUGAUGAUUCUAAAUUCUGUUUCAGACAAAGGAAAAUCAAAUCUCCAGCGUCUUCGUUGUUUUUCUCAACGCAAUGAGAUAAGCACCUGGAAGUCUGGUUUUUUCUACCAUCUGUAUGAACGUUCGAUACGAGUCAUUCUGUUCACGACUAUCGAGUGAAAAUGAGGUCGGCUUUGCCUUUAUUGGAAAGUGAUCAUUUCAUAUAAUCAUGGUAUGGUGAUGCAAUCAGGAACUUCAUAGAGUUACGUUGGUCCAGUUCGACAAAGAGGUGAGCAUUUUAUAUUAUUGAUUCUAAAUUCUGUUUCAGACAAAGGAAAAUCAAAUCCCCAGCGUCUUCGAUGUUUUUCUCAACGCAAUGAUAUAAACGAUGAGUCGCCUGAUGGUUUGGUUUUUCUUCACCAUCUGUAUCAACGUUCGAUACUAGUCAUUCUGUUCACGACUAUCGAGUGAAAAUGAGGUCGGCUUUACCUUUAUUGGAAAGUGAUCAUUUCAUAUAAUUAUGGUAUAAAUGGAUUGGUGAUGCAAUCAGGAACUUCAUAGGUUUACGACCCUUCAUAGACAUACAUACGUUACAGCAUGCCCA